UAAUGAAACUUGUUUUGGGAAGAAUAAUAAUAAAUACUAUUAAUUAAUUACUCUGGGCUGAGAUUUCCUAGGAACCUUACAAAAAAGGCUCAGAAUGCUGCAAAUGCUGGUAUAAUAUGAAAAUGGCUGAUGGAUUUAAGA